rnacentral:rRNA from 1 species
GAUGAACGCUGGCGGCGUGCCUAAUACAUGCAAGUCGAGCGAACGGACGAGAAGCUUGCUUCUCUGAUGUUAGCGGCGGACGGGUGAGUAACACGUGGAUAACCUACCUAUAAGACUGGGAUAACUUCGGGAAACCGGAGCUAAUACCGGAUAAUCUUUUGAACCGCAUGGUUCAAAAGUGAAAGACGGUCUUGCUGUCACUUAUAGAUGGAUCCGCGCUGCAUUAGCUAGUUGGUAAGGUAACGGCUUACCAAGGCAACGAUGCAUAUCCGACCUGAGAGGGUUGUCGGCCACAAUGGGACUGAGACAAGGUCCAGAAUCCUACGGGAAGGAGCAGUAGGGAAUCUUCCGCAAUGGGCGGCAGCCUGACGGAGCAAAGCCGCGUGAGUGAUGAAGGUCUUCGGAUCGUAAAACUCUGUUAUUAGGGAAGAAAAUAUGUGUAAGUAACUGUGCACAUCUUGACGGUACCUAAUCAGAAAGCCACGGCUAACUACGUG